rnacentral:ncRNA from 1 species
AAACCCGACAUGCUACGCCGUCUGGUGGAUGGCUCGGCUUGAACGCCGAAGAAGGGCGCGACAAGCCGCGAUAGGCCCCGGGUAGGCGCAUGUAGCCGUCGAUCCGGGGAUUCCCGAAUGGGACCUCCCACCGCGAAGGUCGAAAGGCUUUCGCGGUGCUCCUCGUAACAGAGGAGCGGGAACCCCCCGAACGGAAACAUCUUAGUAGGGGGAGGAAGAGAAACCAAUCGGGAUUCCCUGAGUAGCGGCGAGCGAAAGGGGAAGAGUCCAAACCGAACGCCAUGAGGACGACUCAUGGUGGAUGUGGUGUAGUGGACCUGGUCGCCUCCUCGCCAGCGAAGCUGAAGUGGCCUGAAACGGCCCGCCAUAGAGGGUGAAAGCCCCGUAAGCGUAAGCUGGAAGGAGCUGGACCAGGAUUCCGGAGUACCGUACCCUGACUUGGGUGCGGGAAUCUGGGAGCCACCAACUUCCAAGACUAAAUACGUUUCAAGACCGAUAGCGCACUAGUACGG